rnacentral:lncRNA from 1 species
AGAAGAUGCAAAUUCUUACAAGGAUUAGGCCAUUGUGAAGGCAGCAGUCCUCAACAUUCUACAAGUCUGGUAAACCAGCAUGCAGAGAACGUGCCGUUUUGAAUGGCCUGCCUUCCCCGCACAGCCUCGCCCCACAAUAGCAUGUAUCGGGGUGUUGAGGGUUUCCUGAGAGCUGGGCAUGGCAGGUAGAAGAGUGGAACGUUCUACUGGAGCACCUUGGCUUGGAUUCCAACACUGUCAGGGACCAACUGUUACUUCUGUCUUUUUUUGUGUGCCUUUUUGGCUCUUCUGUCAGAUGAUUAAGCCCACUGCCCACCCUGGGUUGAGAGGACCUAAUUCGAUGAAUAGAUGAGAAUGUGCUUGGUAGUCCCUAGGGAACUAGGAACCAGUGAAUGAGGGAAAUCACUAGAGACUUCCCACCCACCCAUCAGUGUGCACGUUAAUUCACCAGGUCACUUGAGCUGCCGUGUGCAGGGCACUGUGCAGAGCACGUGGGGAAGACAGACGGGCCUCCACCCUUCAUGGACUUGAUGGUCGUGGGGCAGGGUGACCCCUAGAUAAACAGAAACCAGAAAAAAUUUAAAAAUCAAAUUGUUACAGGGGCACCUGGGUGGCUCAGUUGAUUAAGCGUCCGACUUUGGCUCUGACCUGUUCUGAUCAUGACUUUUGUCACGAUCUCACAGUUCCCGAGUUCAGGGCCCCGCGUCGGGCUCUGUGCCGACAGCAGCCUGAAGCCUGCUUCAGAUUCUGCGUCUGCUUCUCUCUCUGCCUCUUCCCUGCUUGCGCCCUGUCUCUCUCUCUCUCAAAAAAAAAAAAAAAAUACCAAUUUUUUUAAAUAAAAAAAAAAUCAAAUUGUUACAGGCGUAGCAAUGGAAGCAGUUGGGGAACUGAGAGAAAACAAGAGGCAGCCGGUGAGGAUUUUUGGAGGGUGAGGUGGAUUAAUUUUAUUUAGUUUUGGUUGAUGGACACCUUUUGCCAGAGUAGCUCCAGACUGGUCCCAGGAAUCCCAAGUUUGCACCCCAGUUCUGAUCUGCCAGUGAUUAAAGCAGCUUUUUCUUUUUUUUAAUAAUUGCUUUAAGUUUAUUUGUUUAUUUUGAGAGAGACAGAGAGACAGAAUCCCAAGCGGGCUAUGUAGGGUCAGUGGAGAGCCCGAUGUGGGAUCAUGACCUGAGCCCAAAUCAGGAGUGGGACGCUUCACUGACUGAGCCACCCCCCUGCCCCUUAAAGCAGCUUUUAAUAGAGUUUCUGUCCAUAUCUCUGCAAAAUUUAUUCAGUUCUGAAAUUUGAGGUAUAUUCUUUUAAGUGUUUUUUUUUAACUGAAAUGUACUGCAUAAACAAAAGUGCACAUUAUUCUAAAUGCACACCUCAGUGGGUUUUCACAAACUGAACACACCCGAGUAACCCACACAUCAGACCAUCCACCACAGCCCCCAUGCACACCGCCCCUGCUGCUUGGGUGAAUGUUUUUAAAACUUGUAAUGCUGUAUGUUUCUUUAAACGUGUAUUAGGGAAAACAUACAAAUAUAACCGUUCAAUCAAAAUGACAGCUUCAGGGCUCUUACUGCUUAGCAUGUGAGUAAAGCAGCAUUUAAGUACAAAAGGUUGGUUACCAUGAUGAAAAUGCGUAAGUGAGAGCACCAAGCCUUAAUUGUAUCCUAAUGAUGAAAAUGCGUAAGUGAGAGCACCAAGCCUUAAUUGUAUCCUAAUGAUGGCAUCCGUUUUGGUGGUUAAUGACAAGGAAGUGCCUGAAUGACCAAAGUUUGGUAAAUGUCGGGUUAACCCGCGUGAAGACACUUUGUUCCUUUGGGAAACAGCAGUGCCAUUUUGUUCUGACGUUUGAGUGGAGAGGAUUUAAGUCACACAUUAGGAACUGUGCACUGGGUCUGAGCGGAAUCUCCCUGAUGUUCUCAUUUGCUGCCUGUGUCGCUCCUGCAGGAAUGGGGCUCCUCCGGCCCGUCUUGGGGACUUGGGUCUGGGUUCUUCAUCUGCAGCUCUUAGAUUCACGCUGCACGCUGGCCUCGCGUUGACUGUGUAUGUCAGCCCCCCAUGUGUUGUCACACAUGGACUUAACCGUGAUGAAUGCGUUCCCAGAUGGGCCUGUAAUGACUCCGUUAACUUAACCCCGAAUCAAGACUCUCCUGUCCAGAACCAGGGUAGCAGAAACCCAGUACAGCCUGAGUAGCAAUUCAAAAGGGCAGCAGAGACAGCUAAUCAGUUCAUAAUGAGCAAGGAGACAAGCAAUGAAAAGAGAGCCCAAGGACGGCCUGAUAGUUUCACAAAGUCUCAGCACUCAACCAGGCUCAUGUUAAUAAAAUAAACAAAUGUUUUUGGUCACGGAGAGCUAAUGUGUACAUUAUUUAAGGAUAAUAUUAAAACCAGAUUAGAUGGGUCAAGUAACACAGUGGUUCCCUCAUUAAGCAUCUUCUCUUUGGAGAUGUGGGAAAGUUGCUCUCUUUCUGUUUUUCUUCUUUCCUUGUGAAAUGGGGCUUUAUUAAUUAGAGAUGUAAUGGGAAAUCUUUUUUUCUUUUCCCCCAGACUAGUGGCUGUUUUCUGUUUAUUUUUUAAUGUAGGACCAUGCUUUGCAGAUGUUCUCUUUGAAAUAAAAGCCUAUUCAUUGUCUCUCUUUCUCUCUCUCUUUUAUCCCCAGCUCCGAAGGGGCAGCCGUUGUAAAAGACACAAACAGAGAACCCCAUUUACUUGUCAUCAGGCGGUUACAGAAGAUUCCAUCCCUGAUGUAAAAUACUCUCAUUACCUGCUUUUUCCCCCCCUGUAGCCCCAUUGAGGGAUAGUUUUUGAAUUGUUGCAUCUGAUUCUCUCUUGUUUAGAAGACGAGGUGAUGACAGUGAACGGGUUAGAGAAGGUAACGCGGAGGUGGGGUGCAUUCACGGAAAACGGCCGGGUCUGCAACUGGGCCUGGCCUGGAUUCACUCUUCUGAGGUCAAGAGGCUGACUGCUGUUUUGACUCUCUUUUAGGGUAAAAAAAAUAAAAAAAACCAAAUCAUGUGGAGCAAACAAACCCUCUGUCGGAAGGACAGCAGGCGGUAUGAACCCCCAACAAGAGUGGACACUUUCUAGAAAAUCCCUUUGGGCCACAGAUGGAAUAAAG